UCCGUAGGUGGCAAGCGUUGUCCGGAUUUACUGGGCGUAAAGAGCGCGCAGGCGGUCGUUCAAGUCGCGUGUGAAAGCCCCCGGCUCAACUGGGGAGGGUCACGCGAUACUGAUCGACUGGAAGGCAGGAGAGGGUAGUGGAAUUCCCGGUGUAGUGGUGAAAUGCGUAGAUAUCGGGAGGAACACCAGUGGCGAAGGCGACUACCUGGCCUGUUCUUGACGCUGAGGCGCGAAAGCUAGGGGAGCAAACGGG
rnacentral:rRNA from 1 species